GACGAACGCUGGCGGCGUGCCUAAUACAUGCAAGUAGAACGCUGAAGAGAGGAGCUUACUCUUCUUGGAUGAGUUGCGAACGGGUGAGUAACGCGUAGGUAACCUGCCUUGUAGCGGGGGAUAACUAUUGGAAACGAUAGCUAAUACCGCAUAACAAUGGAUGACACAUGUCAUUUAUUUGAAAGGGGCAAUUGCUCCACUACAAGAUGGACCUGCGUUGUAUUAGCUAGUAGGUGAGGUAAUGGCUCACCUAGGCGACGAUACAUAGCCGACCUGAGAGGGUGAGCGGCCACACUGGGACUGAGACACGGCCCAGACUCCUACGGGAGGCAGCAGUAGGGAAUCUGCGGCAAUGGGGGCAACCCUGACCGAGCAACGCCGCGGGAGUGAAGAAGGUUUUCGGAUCGGAAAGCUCUGUUGUAAGUCAAGAACGGGUGUGAGAGUGGAAAGUUCACACUGUGACGGUAGCUUACCAGAAAGGGACGGCUAACUACGUG
rnacentral:rRNA from 1 species